CUUCCUGAUGUUCAGCCAAUCAGGUUGUAGCAGUCUGGCUGAAGGUCGUCACUAGUUACCGCAGGCAAAGUCAUAAACCAGGCGGCUCGCCGUUAAAGCUAGUUAAGGCAGAAACCGACGCCCUUGCAGCCUGAAUGGAGGAUGUUUAAUGUACGAGCCGGUCGCCGGGGGUCAUGAGUGUAUAGCAGGCUGCGUACAUUCCAGUUGGAAGCAGAUGGCAAACGACGUAUAAGGAAUAAUAACGCCAUCUACCGGCCGGUUGGGAUACCUCAUACUGUAGACAUCUUGGGUUGAUAAUAUGCAGAUAUCUAUAACAUUUCAACGGAACAUUUUCCAGCCUAGAAAAAUAGCUACACUAUAAAACAUUUUACAGACAGUUUUUAUGCGAGUAAAGUCAACUGUAUAAAAAUAAAUCACGACAGCUGUCAUGUAAACAGGAAGUUUCGGCACUAUUUUAUAAAUGCCGACGGAUCAUUUGUUGGUUCAAAAUGGUGGGAUGUUUAAAUGCUGGUCAAAUUAAUUAUGCUAGAAAUGGCGCUGGAAACGCCUUUAUGCGCAAAUAUUGAUACAACCAUCAUAUCAAAGUACAUUUGGAGUCACGAGUUUAUAUGGUGUGUUCCUCCCACUACGACUUGGGAAACCAUUCAGUUUAUUAGGCUACAGAUUAAAUAAAUUAUGAAUUUGACUUGGUGAAAAUCCACGGUGAUCUUGACGCUACUUUUCCAAAAAUAUCGAGUGUCAUGAUCGAUGCUUGACAGCCAUUUGACAAAUAAAAAACAAUUCUCGCUCUUAUCCAUAAUAAUCAGGGGUUCCCAAAUGUUUUCACUCGGACCCCCCUUCCAGCGCGCGUACGCACAAGCACUGUUCAGGACACAAAUUGUUCACACCCCUCUUGUUGGUGGGGAGAAUAUUGCAGGUUUAUAGCUUCGUUCUUGCAAUUCUACAAAUUGUCAUGUGGUGCGAAGAAAAUGUUGCCUAGCUACCGUUUCCCCAAAUAAGAAGUGAACCUGUAUGAAAUAACUACUGGUAAUGGUGGUGGUUGUUUGAAUUAUGAGAAGGUGAAAAUAAUAUACUGUUUUAAAGCAAUAAAUCCAGUAUAUUAUUUGCCAAUAUUAUUUUCACCUUAUCCAAAAGUUGUCCACGUGAUCAUCGAAUAUGCAAAUGAGUCAUUGUUCUGUUCUGUUCACUAUUUUCAUUCGCAAUAUAGGACUGUUUCGUUCGAAUUAUUGCACAGCUCGUUGCGUUAUUAUAGUACACAUCUUUUCUAGAUAGGUAGGCCUGAAUUAACCAAAAAUGCAAAAAUGUAUCACGAUCAAAUCAAUCGAGCAUGCAACAGCAGCGUCCUUGCAGCACGUUACAAUGUUGCAUAUAACGAUAGCUUUGCACAGGGGUUCGUUCGCUCUAGGGAUUAAAUCUAAAUAGCAACAUUAGCUACAGUACUUACGUGCAAUGUUUCACUGUAUGAGCUCGAGUGUAGUGUUCGCGGAUGCUGUGUGUGAAGGCGGUAGAUACAGGCCUGCAAAAUGUCUACCCUAGUGGUUCGAGGUUUACCAGAUCUUGAUUCCAAAUGAACUGGAUGAAGUACUUUCACCACAAGGCUGUUCUACUGUUCCGGUGAUCUAGAAGUCAGUCGCGCGAGUUUGCUUCAGGUUCGUUGCACCCGGACGUACCGUAUAUAUUGAAUUGUGGGAAAUUAUGUUCUCUUUCUGUGCUUCUGGUCACAGUUAGGCUGUGUUAACAAUUUUAAAGCGGCAAUCUGCGAUUUAAAGCAACACCGCGCCGCUGUUUAGGUAAAUAGCUGAGGGAUGUUUCUAGAGAAAUGUAACCAGUAACCACUCAAAUUCAUUGACAGCUAUGGAUGCAAGGACUUACUUACCAUACACAAUAUACAACUUAUAGUAUAUAACAUGUUUUGAGGCUAUACAGUGUUUGUUUACAAUUGCAUUGUUUGCAAACAUUGGAGUAAAACAAGAUAAUAUGUUGGUUUCUGAUAGGGUACGACAGUUCAUGAGGCAUUUAUAAGUUAAAUUAUUCAAAAAAAUCUAUGGGUUAUAUUGUAGCGAUGCUCGAUAUACAAUUCCCACAACUGGGGUAACCCAAUUCGUGUGAUGCGCAGGGUGUUUACCUUUCACACCAGUGACCCGGGUUUGCUUCCCUGCCGUUUGCCCGUUGCCCCCCCCCCCCAAAAAAAGUACAUGCAUACAGAAAGCAUUUGUAUUGAUAGUAAAUUUGACAACAGUUCUGAAGAAAAAAAUGCAUACAUUUUAGCAAUCACCUAAAUAUCAAAAUAAUGUAUUAUAUCAAUACUUGUAAGAGUUGUUUUAGGUUCUGUGAACUAGGCCGAGACACAGUGUACUAUCUGAUAGGUCUAUAUCCAACUAAUUUCCUUUGCAUCAGGUCAACAUUAAGGGUUAAUUUAUCUCUUGGUUCAUUAUACAGCUGAAGGUUCCAUUUUUGGAAGAAAGGAUGUUAUUGUUGAGAGUAGGUUAAAGGUGACAAGAGAUUUGUAAACAGAAGCAUACAAUUGCUCCACAUUGUGAGGCCCUAAUAUGAAAACAUCCUAUAAAAUCUUCCUUGGCACAAUGUUAAGUACGGGUCAAAGUACGUUGGUAACCUUAGGGGCAGAGAACAUAACAUUUGUGUUUUAUAAUUCCGUUUACAAGUUCCUUGUAAUAUGUCAUUCUGAGCCUCCGGGUUCAACCAAGGGUCAUAUUCACCAGGCACCAAACGGAAAGGAAAAUGGAGUGAAACUUGGAGGGACUACCUGAACUUGUCCAAUAAGAAACAAUUUUUUCAUUUUCCUUUCCAAAACGUUUUGCUAUAGGGUGCACUAAUAAAUUGGACCCAAGAGUCAGCUGACAGCAGGUGCACUCACAGCAGAACUGUACAGUACUGGCCCACAUCUGUUAGGCACACCCAGGACAAGCCACAACAUGUUAGUCACCACUGUUGUAGCUAUUAUGGCCAGGGAUAUAAGGACACUUAGGACAGGAGGGAAAUUAUCUUCAAAUCAGAUCUGAAUCUGGUGCAGAUACAGGACUUUGACACAUAUUAGACAUUAUUUGUUAACCCAUGAAAGUUAGCACAAAGUACCCUAAAAUUAACCUCCAGAAAGGUCAAACUCAAUAUAGUAAGGUCAACUGAUGCUCUGUAAUGUUCAUUAUAGGGUCAACAAUUAUUCCUCAAAUGCACCUGCAUUUCUUAGAAACACUUGCCAUGUUGCACAAUCAAUCUAGCUUUAUUAAUAGUCAUUUGUCACUUCAUCAAUUGACGUAUGUUUCAAUCACAGGUUAACUGUUGGCAGAUGUUCCUGUCCUGUGUUCUAAUUAUGAACUCCCGAUUGUACUUUGAGCAAACCAAUACAUUUUUAUGACUGGUUUAUGUAAGUGUGCAAGCUCUCUCCCAAUCCAAAAAAUAUAAAAUAACAUGUGUCCUAAGCCAGCAUAGUAUUGAUUGCAGGUGUAGUGUACACUUAACAUAUCUGUACACAUAGCGUCACCUAUCACACACUUUAUGGACUGUUGCUUGAUGCUGUGCAAAGUGCACUGGGCCAAUUAACUUUCAAAUGGAGGCCAAGAGAAUAUCCCUAAUUGAUAUGUUCUAUUAUUAUAAGGAUAUAACUGUCUAGUAAUUUAUGCAUCAAUACUUCAGAUAUUUAUGAGGAUCUUUUUAUUCCACAAAAUAGUAUAAAUAGUGUUAUUAUCUCUGGUCCUUAUGAAUCUUAACUUGGGUCUUUGGGCACCCAUUGUCAGUGAGGGCCAAGGGAAUCUCAAAAAUUUGUUUUUGGAUGUAUGCCUUUUGUGGGGUGGGCCUAGAAAAAUGACCAAUUAUAUAAUAUCUAUUACUAAAAAUAGAAUAUACUGUAUGUAUGUAUGUAGCCUAAGCAAUAGCUUUAGGAUGUGGUGAGUCAGUGGUCUGCUCUGUUCGCAAACAAAAAUAUUUUGCUAUGGUAACCGUUGACUGAAGUUCACUGUACAAAUGGAAUAACAAUAGCACAAUUUGAUUCCAUGCUAACAAGGACAUAUCACGGUGUUCCUUCCAAGGGAAUUAGCCUACAAUGAUAAACAGCUGCCUAUCUGAUUUCAGUUCAAUCUGUAAGGACGUGUCUAACAACAUAGGUUUGAAAAUUACUGUAAAAACAGCAGGUGAUUGGGAGGCGGGACUAGCACAGGUGGGAUCCACAACUUACAUCACCAUCAUUAAGGCUAUAUAAUGGAGUGAACUUCUGACAUUAGCAGAAGACUCUCACUGACUGACAAGCCAUACACAGCGGAACACGUUUGGAUACUCAGUCUACUCUGUACCACAAGUACAAACAGAACUCUUGAAGAGCUCAACAAAGAAACAGAAAACAAGCGCAAAUCAAUAUGACUGGACAAGAUCUAACUGCCAUUCUGGACUGUGCGCAUCAGCUGCGUAAAGUUGGAGACGUCCUAGCUAGUGACACCCUGGACUGGAGAUCCAAAUUAUUGGAAAUAUUGACAAAACAUUACAAGAAUAUAAUCAAAGUCAAGUGAGGGAGUUCAACCCACUCAGUGAAGAUCACGGAAACAAGAAGAUAGAAUACUAUCUCAGUCCGCAGUUUUGGUAGCUGUGCAGCAGUCCCGCCUGGUCGUUCAGAGGUGCAUUUGCAGCCACCUGAGAUGGAAGUCAAGAGGACAGUCUGCCCGGACCUGCCCCACAAUCCAAUAUUCAAUGGCAAAGUGUCCAGUGCUCACCCCCCCACCAUGUCAAUGGAGAGUGAAAAGGAUCAGUAACAUUGUGUAAUGGCAAAACCAGUGGACCUCUGCUGGUUUGUCGUUGGGACAUUUGGUAGCCCGAUGGGCAGCCAUUCACAUGGACGUCAAACGCGAACAUCGGAACCAGAGCUGACAGGACCGAUCCUACAAGAAAGUACGAUGACAAAGGAGGAUUAUCAGUUGUUGGGGACAUGUUUUGGAUCAUGGACACAUGACAUUGAAGUGCUCUGAUGCCUUAUGUGAGGCUUACAUUCAUUUUGUUUUAAAGAAUUGUGCCUUGAGCGAUUAAAAGUUGUUUUCAAAAUCUGCAAUAUUUUGAAAUGAUCUGUAUUGGUUGUUCAAUAAUGUCACAGUCAGAUAGUAGGCCGUUUCAGCCAAGU